rnacentral:rRNA from 1 species
GACGAACGCUGGCGGCGUGCUUAACACAUGCAAGUCGAACGGAAAGGCCCUGCUAUUGUGGGGUGCUCGAGUGGCGAACGGGUGAGUAACACGUGAGUAACCUGCCCUUGACUUUGGGAUAACUUCAGGAAACUGGGGCUAAUACCGGAUAUGAGCUCCUGCUGCAUGGUGGGGGGGGGAAAGUUUCGGCGGUUGGGGAUGGACUCGCGGCUUAUCAGCUUGUUGGUGGGGUAGUGGCUUACCAAGGCUUUGACGGGUAGCCGGCCUGAGAGGGUGACCGGCCACAUGGGGACAGAGAUACGGCCCAGACUCCUACGGGAGGCAGAAGUGGGGAAUAUUGAACAAUGGGCGGCAGCCUGAUGCAGCAACGCCGCGUGCGGGAUGACGGCCUUCGGGUUGUAAACCGCUUUCGCCUGUGACGAAGCGUGAGUGACGGUAAUGGGUAAAGAAGCACGGGCUAACUACGUG